rnacentral:snRNA from 1 species
AGCCGUGUUGCGAUGACAUAGUGAACUAUUCUUUCGCCUUUUACUACAGAAUACCGUGUCAGCGCAACAAUUUGCGGCAUACGCUAGUUUUUGGAAGAGUCCUCUUUAUUGAGGGCU